CCUACGUGUGGCAGCAGUGGGGAAUAUUGGACAAUGGGCGAAAGCCUGAUCCAGCCAUGCCGCGUGUGUGAAGAAGGCCUUCGGGUUGUAAAGCACUUUCAGUGGGGAAGAAAGCCUUGGGGCUAAUACCCUCGAGGAAGGACAUCACCCACAGAAGAAGCACCGGCUAACUCCGUGCCAGCAGCCGCGGUAAUAGGGAGGGUGCGAGCGUUAAUCGGAAUUACUGGGCGUAAAGCGCGCGUAGGCGGUCUGAUAAGCCGGUUGUGAAAGCCCCGGGCUCAACCUGGGAACGGCAUCCGGAACUGUCAGGCUAGAGUGCAGGAGAGGAAGGUAGAAUUCCCGGUGUAGCGGUGAAAUGCGUAGAGAUCGGGAGGAAUACCAGUGGCGAAGGCGGCCUUCUGGACUGACACUGACGCUGAGGUGCGAAAGCGUGGGUAGCAAACAGGAUUAGAUACCCUGGUAGUC
rnacentral:rRNA from 1 species